rnacentral:rRNA from 1 species
UACGAAGGGGGCUAGCGUUGCUCGGAAUCACUGGGCGUAAAGGGUGCGUAGGCGGGUCUUUUAAGUCAGGGGUGAAAUCCUGGAGCUCAACUCCAGAACUGCCUUUGAUACUGAGGAUCUUGAGUUCGGGAGAGGUGAGUGGAACUGCGAGUGUAGAGGUGAAAUUCGUAGAUAUUAGGAAGAACACCAGUGGCGAAGGCGGCUCACUGGCCCGGUACUGACGCUGAGGUGCGAAAGCGUGGGGAGCAAACAGG